AUGACGACCGGCGCACGGGUGCGUAACGCGUAUAGAACCUACCUUUUACAGAGGAAUAGCCUUUAGAAAUGAAGAUUAAUGCCUCAUGGUAUUGUAGACUGGCAUCAGUUUAUAAUUAAAGAUUUAUCGGUAAAAGAUGGCUAUGCGUCCUAUUAGUUAGUUGGUAAGGUAACGGCUUACCAAGACAGCGAUAGGUAGGGGUCCUGAGAGGGAGAUCCCCCACACUGGUACUGAGACACGGACCAGACUCCUACGGGAGGCAGCAGUGAGGAAUAUUGGACAAUGGAGGAGACUCUGAUCCAGCCAUGCCGCGUGUAGGAAGAAUGCCCUAUGGGUUGUAAACUACUUUUAUACAG
rnacentral:rRNA from 1 species